CUGGUCCUGUUUCUCCAACUGAACCCUGACUAAAACAUUUAUUAAUGUGGCAGAAGUAACAAUGCAUGAUUUCAAAUGUUAUGUCAUAAAAGGUGAAACAGCUUCUGUCUGGCUUUCAGAUGCUUGCCCUGGAAACCAGCCAUGAUGCCAUGAUGAAAUCCAGGCAACAGAGUUGUGUUUCAGCCCAAAGCAUCAGAUGGGAUCCAGGUGACUGGCAUCAUUAUCAGUCAGACAUGUGAGAGAAAUCCUUAAGAUGACUUCAGACUCAUCACUCAUUAUCUUCAACCACAUGAGAAACCCAGAGCGAGAACCACCCAGCCAAGGCCAAUCUCUAGAACUUCAAAAGCUUUCGGAUCAUCAACUGACAUAGGGGAAGAAGACUUCCAUAGGAUGCUCAACCACCACCCAAGAUCAUGUAAAGCCAAGAUGUAGGCUAUGUCUGAUAUAAACAGUAAAGUAUGACAUCUUCAAGUGAUUGCUUCUCUGAUGAAAACUGAACUUGAGACAUGCUGUGGCAGUGAAUGUUCGGAACCAUAGCCACUAGACUACAGGGUCAAGUGCCUUUUUUGGAAAAUCUUGCAGGGUAUACAAAGCAGGAAGUUUGAGUAUACAGAGGAUUUUAACUUUAAAUCCUUUGUUUAACAUCUGAUUUCUGCCUUAAGGAAAUCUCCCAAUAAAAUUUUUAAGGCUAUAUU